UCUUCUGUGAUGAUUUAACAGUAUGACUUUCGUUCUUCUGACUUUUUUCUGGAGCCAAUUCAUCUGUUCUGAGAAGA